rnacentral:tRNA from 1 species
GGAGGAAUGGCCGAGUGGUUUAUGGCAGCGGUCUUGAAAACCGCAGGCGUCGAAAGGCGUCCGGGGGUUCGAAUCCCUCUUCCUCCGCCA